CAGUGUUAGAUAGCAAACCACUCUGUUCUCAAGCUACGCACUGCCGGGAAAUUGUUGUAAGUUGUACAUUCUUAGAAAGUUUUGCAAAGGCUACAUUAAAAGUGAAACUUGGCACAUAAACUGCAUGAUAAUCUUUAAUGCUGAUUAUUUACAAAAUAUGAAGCCACUAUUUCUUGGUGAGUGGCCUCAAAAGAGAGGUAGAUUUAUUAUGAAAGUUGCUUCGGUUAUCACUCUUGAAGACGCUAUGAAAAUGGACAAGCUACCUAUAAUUUUGGAAGAGAAAAAUGUCAAGAAACAAAAUGGCAAAGUUCAAAAGAAUGGAGGAGGGAAAUUCAAGAAGAAUCAACGAGGGAAAUUCAAGAAGAAUAAAUGAGGGAAAGUCAAGAAGAAAAAACGAGGGAAAGUCAAAAAUAAUCUACGAGGGAAUGUCCAAAAGAAGCGUAGGAAGCAGCAAAAGAAGAGAAGCGGUUAAAGAAAGGAGGGAAUCUAAAUCACUACUACUGGAAAGUAUUGUAUUUCUUUAGUAAUUUAACGUAAGACGAUAACUAAUUAUUUAACGUUAAAACUUAAAAGUAAAAAUUUGAAUUUCUUUUGGAAUAACUUUUGAAUGUUUUAAAUUAUAUUUGCUUUAAUGUUAAACUUGUUUCGGACUUGAAAAUUGAAUUUCUGUACAUAGUAUGUCACAUUUCUCCAUACGGUUUACAUAAACACAUUUUUCAAUAUGUUAUCGAAGUCAUCUUGUCAAGAGAAUUUUUCUGAACGUAUAUAGUUAAGAGUAUAUAGAUGUUAGUCCAAUAAAAAAGUAGAUGACAUGCCAAAAAGUCGUGCGCAGUUUACGCCGAUGCGCACCACAGCGGCCGAU
rnacentral:lncRNA from 1 species